UUUGCUCUUCACUUUCUUCCCGCACAUCUCUCUCUCUCUCUCUCUCUCUCUCAAGUCUGGGAGAGGAGCUAGCCUUCAGACAAGGAAGAAAAGGAGAGGUUUUUACACGAUCUGGCAGGUUUUGGUUUCUACAUCCCGCAAUGAGAGAAAAAGGGUUAGUUAAACAUCCCUUCUCCAUAUUCAUUUGGAAUGAAAAAGAAAAAGAAAAAACAGCUUUUGUUUCUUCUAAAGCUUACACUCUGAAUCCAUUACCAGUUUCGACACUGGAAGAAUUGGAUUCUUCAGGAGAUGAGGAGGAGAUCUUCUUAGGGUUGUUCUGCCUUGACAAGGGUAGCUUUUCUAUAAGAAUGGGAUGUUCGUUUUAAUUAGGUGCUAUCCUAACUGAGCUUUUUUUUUCAUCAAACCUUUUCUCACCAACCAUCAACAUUUGUUUCUUUGUUCCUAUAGUCUUCUUGACCUUGUAAGACCUUUUCUUGACCUUGUAAGGCCCCACGUCAGGGUUGCUUAUCUUUGUUUUUCAUUUAGUUUCAGAUCCCCUAUCAGAUGCCAUGGAUAUGGUGUCUUACGUUUAUGGUUCCCUGUUUCCGCCCAACUCAUCUUCCUUUUCUCCGUCUAUCCCUCCUGAGCUAUUUGAACCAGACAGACUCUAUCCAACCCCCAUUCAUAUCAGUGCUUCUGCUUUCCUUCUGAGCACAUGAAUUAUAUUAUCAUAUAUUGUUUGAAGACUCUCAUCAAGAGUCCGUUUGGGGAGCCUGGAGUCUACAUCUUAUGAACAUUCUUCCAUGUAAAGCUUCAAGGAAACAAAUAAAAUGGCGAAAGUGACUCAUUGGAGAAGCGUUCAGAGAUUAGUACCCAAGCAAUUAGAAAGUGUUUGUUUUACUUUUCCAUUGCUGUAAAGGGCUUUGGAUUUUCUUUGUAUUAUGUGUUCAGAAAUAUGCUGUGGCAGGCAUCAGUUUCGUUGUUUUAUAUGUUGUUGGCUGAUGAGUGAAUAGAUGAUAAAUAUUCUCGCAGAUCUCUGAGGAGUCUCCUCGUGACUGUUCCAAUGUACAAUUACAAUGUCUCCACUGUAUCAUUGGACUUCUCUUUCUCUCUCUCUCAUUCUGUUAUUCUUAGUAUUAACAAUAUUUCCUUUUUUUUCAUUAAUUUUAUUUUCUUAUCUUAUCUUUUCAAUGGGUCAUUCACAUCACAUUUAUGGCUGGUAAUGAUCAUAUUUUUAAUA